CCUACGGGAGGCAGCAGUGAGGUAUAUUGGUCAAUGGACGAGAGUCUGAACCAGCCAAGUAGCGUGAAGGAUGACUGCCCUAUGGGUUGUAAACUUCUUUUAUAUGGGAAUAAAACGUUCCACGUGUGGGAUUUUGUAUGUACCAUAUGAAUAAGGAUCGGCUAACUCCGUGCCAGCAGCCGCGGUAAUACGGAGGAUCCGAGCGUUAUCCGGAUUUAUUGGGUUUAAAGGGAGCGUAGGUGGAUUGUUAAGUCAGUUGUGAAAGUUUGCGGCUCAACCGUAAAAUUGCAGUUGAAACUGGCAGUCUUGAGUACAGUAGAGGUGGGCGGAAUUCGUGGUGUAGCGGUGAAAUGCUUAGAUAUCACGAAGAACUCCGAUUGCGAAGGCAGUUCACUGGACUGCAACUGACACUGAGGCUCGAAAGUGUGGGUAUCAAACAGGAUUAGAUACCCUUGUAGUC
rnacentral:rRNA from 1 species